GCUCGGGUCGCCUAGCACGGACAGGGCACCCGCCUCCUAAGCGGGUUAUCUGGGGUUCAAAUCCCCACCCGAGCG
rnacentral:tRNA from 1 species